rnacentral:rRNA from 1 species
GGAUCCAGACUUUGAUCCUGGCUCAGGAUGAACGCUAGCUACAGGCUUAACACAUGCAAGUCGAGGGGCAGCGGGAUUGAAGCUUGCUUCAAUUGCCGGCGACCGGCGCACGGGUGAGUAACGCGUAUCCAACCUUCCGUACACUCAGGGAUAGCCUUUCGAAAGAAAGAUUAAUACCUGAUGGUAUCUUAAGCACACAUGUAAUUAAGAUUAAAGAUUUAUCGGUGUACGAUGGGGAUGCGUUCCAUUAGGUAGUAGGCGGGGUAACGGCCCACCUAGCCAACGAUGGAUAGGGGUUCUGAGAGGAAGGUCCCCCACAUUGGAACUGAGACACGGUCCAAACUCCUACGGGAGGCAGCAGUGAGGAAUAUUGGUCAAUGGACGAGAGUCUGAACCAGCCAAGUAGCGUGAAGGAUGAAGGUCCUACGGAUUGUAAACUUCUUUUAUAAGGGAAUAAACCCUCCCACGUGUGGGAGCUUGUAUGUACCUUAUGAAUAAGCAUCGGCUAACUCCGUGCCAGCAGCCGCGGUAAUACGGAGGAUGCGAGCGUUAUCCGGAUUUAUUGGGUUUAAAGGGAGCGCAGACGGGUCGUUAAGUCAGCUGUGAAAGUUUGGGGCUCAACCUUAAAAUUGCAGUUGAUACUGGCGUCCUUGGGUGCGGUUGAGGUGUGCGGAGUUCGUGGUGUAGCGGUGAAAUGCUUAGAUAUCACGAAGAACUCCGAUUGCGAAGGCAGCACACUAAUCCGUAACUGACGUUCAUGCUCGAAAGUGUGGGUAUCAAACAGGAUUAGAUACCCUGGUAGUCCACACGGUAAACGAUGGAUACUCGCUGUUGGCGAUAUACUGUCAGCGGCUUAGCGAAAGCGUUAAGUAUCCCACCUGGGGAGUACGCCGGCAACGGUGCAAC